rnacentral:tRNA from 1 species
GCCCGGGUGGCUCAGUCGGUUGAGCAUCCAAUUUCGGCUCAGGUCAUGAUCUCGCAGUCUGUGAGUUCGAGCCCCACUUUGGGCU